rnacentral:rRNA from 1 species
GCUGACGAGUGGCGGACGGGUGAGUAAUGUCUGGGAAACUGCCUGAUGGAGGGGGAUAACUACUGGAAACGGUGGCUAAUACCGCAUAACGUCGCAAGACCAAAGAGGGGGACCUUCGGGCCUCUUGCCAUCAGAUGUGCCCAGAUGGGAUUAGCUUGUUGGUGAGGUAACGGCUCACCAAGGCGACGAUCCCUAGCUGGUCUGAGAGGAUGACCAGCCACACUGGAACUGAGACACGGUCCAGACUCCUACGGGAGGCAGCAGUGGGGAAUAUUGCACAAUGGGCGCAAGCCUGAUGCAGCCAUGCCGCGUGUAUGAAGAAGGCCUUCGGGUUGUAAAGUACUUUCAGCGGGGAGGAAGGUGUUGUGGUUAAUAACCACAGCAAUUGACGUUACCCGCAGAAGAAGCACCGGCUAACUCCGUGCCAGCAGCCGCGGUAAUACGGAGGGUGCAAGCGUUAAUCGGAAUUACUGGGCGUAAAGCGCACGCAGGCGGUCUGUCAAGUCGGAUGUGAAAUCCCCGGGCUCAACCUGGGAACUGCAUUCGAAACUGGCAGGCUUGAGUCUUGUAGAGGGGGGUAGAAUUCCAGGUGUAGCGGUGAAAUGCGUAGAGAUCUGGAGGAAUACCGGUGGCGAAGGCGGCCCCCUGGACAAAGACUGACGCUCAGGUGCGAAAGCGUGGGGAGCAAACAGGAUUAGAUACCCUGGUAGUCCACGCCGUAAACGAUGUCUACUUGGAGGUUGUGCCCUUGAGGCGUGGCUUCCGGAGCUAACGCGUUAAGUAGACCGCCUGGGGAGUACGGCCGCAAGGUUAAAACUCAAAUGAAUUGACGGGGGCCCGCACAAGCGGUGGAGCAUGUGGUUUAAUUCGAUGCAACGCGAAGAACCUUACCUGGUCUUGACAUCCACAGAACUUUCCAGAGAUGGAUUGGUGCCUUCGGGAACUGUGAGACAGGUGCUGCAUGGCUGUCGUCAGCUCGUGUUGUGAAAUGUUGGGUUAAGUCCCGCAACGAGCGCAACCCUUAUCCUUUGUUGCCAGCGAUUAGGUCGGGAACUCAAAGGAGACUGCCAGUGAUAAACUGGAGGAAGGUGGGGAUGACGUCAAGUCAUCAUGGCCCUUACGACCAGGGCUACACACGUGCUACAAUGGCGCAUACAAAGAGAAGCGACCUCGCGAGAGCAAGCGGACCUCAUAAAGUGCGUCGUAGUCCGGAUUGGAGUCUGCAACUCGACUCCAUGAAGUCGGAAUCGCUAGUAAUCGUGGAUCAGAAUGCCACGGUGAAUACGUUCCCGGGCCUUGUACACACCGCCCGUCACACCAUGGGAGUGGGUUGCAAAAGAAGUAGGUAGCUUAACCUUCGGGAGGGCGCUUACCACUUUGUGAUUCAUGACUGGGGUGAAGUCGUAACAAGGUAACCGUAGGGGAACCUGCGGUUGGAUCACCUCCUUACCUUAAAGAAGC